UCUGUUUUGAAUUUGUUCUCGCCAUGAAUGGCACGUGAGCGCAUCCUGUGGCGGCGCAAAAUGCAACCGGCAGCUGUGUUUAUGUGCUCGUGAGGACAAUGUGUGGCGGGAUUCAGGCAAGAAGAACGCCCCGUGAGCUCAAAGUUCAAUGCUGAAACGAGGAGGAGGCUCAGGCUUUGAUGCAUGGGGAGAUAUACUUCAUCAUGCGGGAGGACAGCUUUGCUUAUGAUAUUCAGGACGGGAUGUUUGGAUUUUUGGAGCGUGAGCGCUUUGUCCGUGACCCACAAAGGGGAUAUGUUUGUAUUAAGCGACUGAACGUGAUUCAUGUGGGAUAUAUUGCAAAUAAAUGUGUGUGUUUAUCUUGACAUUUUACCAUACGCAUAGGAGAAACACGAACGUCUGUGGAAACGGCGGACACCCAGCAGACUUCUUAUUCGGCAGUUCGUCGAGAUUCAAUACGAGAGCCGGGGCGGAAAUUCGACCUUCGGCAAUCCGUAUGCCAGUCGGUCGCAGGGCACAGCCGGGCGGAGCGCACCCGCACCUACGGACAAUUUGGAGUGGUCAAUGAAGCGAAGGUUAGAAAGCAUCUUUUGCCAGUGGAAUGGAAGCUGCAGGCGGGGAGAGACUCACGCAAGCACAGGAAGAAUUUGCAAACGCCACACAGGAAAUCCUGAGCUGAGAUUGCAGCCCACAACCUCACAACAAUGUUCACCUGUCAAUUAUAAUGUGUGUUGCAUUCCUUUUUCAUUCCUUUCGCUCUAUAUAAUUGGCACAUUGAGCUUUUGUAAAUACUACAAUAAAUCAACAGUAGCAUCAAUUUGACAAAUGCAUUCAACAUGUCAUUGUUCCAUUCGAUUGAAUCCGAAUCCGAAUCCGAAUCCGAAUCCUCUUUAUUGCCAAGUAUGUCCAAAAAACACACGAGGAAUUUGUCUCCGGUCGUCGGAGCCGCUCCAGUACGACAAUAGGCGGCCAUUUUGACAGUCAAUACUUGGGAGAACUGAAAACAUAAACACGAACCACGGCGAGUCACUGAGCCUCGCGCAAGAGGGAAGAAGCGGAAAGGCGUCACGUGAUAAUCCCGAUGUUUUGGCGACCUUUUUCGCUGCAUGAGAGGCUCAUUUAUUGAUACAGGGCUCGUAUUAGAUCUCACUGAAGAUUUUGUAUUUUUUUUUUUUUAAAUUCAUUUACAUGAUUUUUGUUGAUUCCCUGUUUAUGCACGACAUUUGAAUAAUAUUGGAGUAAAUUUCAAUACUGAUUUAGAAGUUGAACUGCUUAGCCCCUCCCCCCCGAAACAACGUGUCGGCAUUGUCGACUUCAGCCUCGUGGCGGUGAAAGUCGUGAUUGAUGUCGUCCGUGUUGGUGUUGUUGGCAGCAGGCCGGAAAGAUUGCAUCCAAGUGCUAAAAGAGUCUGAAACCACCGAACGACGUCGCCCACGUAAGGAAGACGUGCCUUGUGAGAACAUUUAUGGACACUUUUUAUUAUGAUGCAGCACAAUCAUUGGGAGGAAAGGAGAAAAUGUUGAGAAGUAGUCGUGCGAGGCCCUGAGAAGGUACACAGGCAGAAAGUGUUUCACCCGAGAGGCCCUCUUCCAUCGCUGCAAUUUGACAACCGACUCUCACAAACCACAAGCGGAAAUGCUGGAGCUGGUGCCGAGGGCCACGCAGAGCCACCCCGCCUGCCUGCACGGCCACCCGGCGGCCGCCGCGUGCGUCUUCGAUCUCGCCGCGCGCAGGAGCAGGACCAGGGCCGAGGCCAUGUCGCUACGCCUGCUCUGCGCUCCUGCUGCACACCAUGAAGACCUUACACCGACAUACGCAGGUGUCGCUCUCUGUGUCCGUCCGUCCCUCCGUCCAUCCAUCCAUCCGUCUACAACAUCGACCUUGCGAUUGCAGGAUUGAUUCAAAAUGUUGUCAUUCAAAGAAGAGCAAGUAACUUCAUAAAUUAAAAUGAGCCUAUUUUAUCGUGGUCGAGAACGUGACUGCUCAGCCAAUGACGACUUUUUGUUAUCACGAUGCCUCGGGGCGACCGGAGCGGCUUCGGUUUGAAGGAGCAGAGCCCAAGAGCGUGAGGGGAAAAAAACUUCACCGAACGAUCAAGUGUGUGCCGGUUAGCUAAUAUUCAUCUGCGCAUCCAACAAAACUCAUUGCAGCUCUACUUAUCUUUGGCCUUUGACGUGAUUGACAGGAGCGUCCUACCAGUUGGAUCCACGGCGAUGUGAAGUGACGAUAGCGUUGCGGACAGUCGCUCGGAAGGGAAUCUGCAUCUGCAUCGUCGCGUCACGGGCUGAGAAACUACGUGGCGCGGCAAUUUGGAUCCAAUUCACAGCAGUUCACUCACAGACACAUUUUCAGAUAUGUGCAGCUGAAAAUCAAAGAUUCUCUUGGUUGUGUCAUCUCGUGGGCAGCCACUCCAGGGACGCAACCAUUCAGCCAUUAA